CCGUGACCCUCUGCGGACCAGGAGAACAAUAACAGUAUAGAAAAAAAUAAAAGAUGCAUUAUUCAGUAGUAAAAAAAAUAAUAAAGCAUGUCUAUAUAAAAAACAGUAUUCAAAGAAGCAAACAGCAAAGUAACAGUAGAGAAAAGAAUACUCGAACUGCAAAUGUGAAAAACACAUCUAGCAGCUGGAGUUGAACGCCUGCUGCAGAGCUCUCACUCACUUGCAGCCUGUUAAUUAAUGUGUCGGGGAGCUUGGAGCCGGCUGGCUAAAGCUGCCCUACUUUACCGUUUGUCUGUCCCUGGUGUGCUUGGUCUGGGACUUCAGGAUCCACUGGUGUGAGAACUGUCCAGGUCACGUGAUUUAAACAAUGUGUGUGUUACAGGAGCCGCAGCCUGCGGACGCCGGCCAACUUGUUUGUCAUUAACCUGGUGAUCACAGAUCUGCUGAUGGGUGUCUGGGUGACACACACCUUCUUCGCCACCAGCAUGCACAAGAGCUGGAUCUUUGGAGGGAAAGGUACCGACUGCACACACAUCCCACGAACACACAGGGUGUCCCAGCCUCAGCUCCUGAAUCUGGAUCCAACAUACCUGUAAACGCUAGUCUCGUCUGCUCUGUUAUUAUUGUGUGGUAACACAGCCGGGGGCAGAGAUGCCAACAUGGCAGGCGGUGAUCUGCAGGAUGUCUUGGCUGAGAAACUCAUGUACCUCACAUGUUGCAAGUCUGCAGCUUUGUUUGUUGUCUCACAGCAGCCAGUUUUCCCUGAGGCCUACAAAUGCGAACAUUUUGUGUCACCACAUCUGGAAUAUGACUUGGAUCCAGAUCAGACUUUGGAGUCUGGUAUAUUUCAUCCAGAUCCAUUUGUUAUUUUUUGAGUUAUUCUGUGAACAAACCAACAAGCAGCAGUGAAAACACAGCCUCCUCAGCCUCCUGCGUUCAUCCCUGUGAACUGUCGGCGAGGAAGAGGGAGACAGACAUCUUCACCGUGAACACACAACAUGUGGGUGUCAGCUACACGUCGAUGCUGUUAAGUGAGAAUCAAGAUCUCGUGCCAAAAUUACUGCGAAAUAUUGCAGGCGUCCUGGUUUAAAGAAGAAACUGGGAGAGGAUAAAGAGAAAGAAAGAAAAGUAUCUUGGUAGUGGGAAGUAUGCUCAGGUACUACUGUAUAGUACUGUUUUGAGAUACUUGUAUGUCGUGUUGUCAGUCCAACCACCAGGUGAUUGCCCCGCCCACUUUCUCAUCUCAUCUGUUUACUUCCUCGUACAUGAACCGGCCGUCCUCCACCUGCAGCUUUUUUUGGGAUGUGUCGCAGCAUCAGGAUUGAUUAUUCUUUUGAACAAAGAAUAAACCUGAUCGGUCUCACAUCAAAUAAUGAGCUGCUGUAUUGUUUUCGGUGUCAUACAGGACACAGAUGAUUUACACAUCACUAUUUUCACUUUUAGUUUUGACCUUACAUACCGUCCCUUCUUCUGAUUUGGGGUUGUAGGUUGUAGGUGGUGAUGGUUUACCUCUGACUGAAACAGGAAACAAACAGCCAGGUGUCUACUUAUAUGGGAGCACAUUCUCUUAGCUUCUUCGCUGUUGGUCAGACAAAACAAGGACCUGUCCUGGCCUGCAGAACACAGUGAUGGGCAGUUUUCAUGGUUUCUGAUGUUUCAGUGACUAAACAAUUAAUUGAGAAAACAAUUGACAUGACAAUUACUGACAAUAAUCUUUAGUUGCAGCCCUAAAAUGUGCUUCACCCUGAUGACCUGCAGAAUUUGAAAAGCUACUUACAUAUUAAUAGAUCAGUAUUAAUUAUGCAUUAAUAUAUGUCACAAGAGCCAUUUUCUACAUUAUGUUCUUUUCCUUUUGAUACUUUAAGUACAUUUUACUAAUAGCACUGCAGAUUCUCUUGAUGUUGGUAUUUUAUUUUCUGACUUUUACUUGUGUAGGGUAUUUUUAGAUUGCAGUAUUACUGUUACCUAAAUAAGGGUUGUGAUUACUCCCGCCACCACUCAGAGAGACAGAGGGAGCUGUAGCUCUGGACAGGGGAGGAAACGUUCCCAUAAAUUGCUGUUUUCAUGUGGGAUUCAACAUGUCAGCGGCAGGAUUACCUCACUUCCUGCUGCCCAGUGAUAACACAGCGGCUGCAGCCCUGGAGAGCAAGCCAGGAAGGGCUUCUAGUUCAGAGAUUCACAUCUGAAAUUCAACAUGACAUAAAAACUACGGCCCGGAUCACCGACCAGGUCCUCCAGAUUUCAGCACUGAUGACUCUGUGGCUGUAAACUGACAAAGAUGGUAUCAAGUCCCAAGUCUGCUGAAGUACAGGUUCAUGUUGGUUCAUUGAGCAUCUUUCAAACUUUCCCCACAUGCAUGAUGAUUUUCUUGG